CAACCCUCAAGCUCUGCUUGGUGUUGGGCGUCACCAGUCUUGGUGUGCUCUAAAAUUAGUGGCGGCGCCGUCUGGCUCUAAGCGUAGUACAUGCUCUCGCUAUAGAUGCCCGGCGGAUGCUUGCCAGCAACCUCUAAUCUAUCA
rnacentral:misc_RNA from 1 species